GACGAACGCUGGCGGCGUGCUUAACACAUGCAAGUCGAACGGAAAGGCCCCUUUGGGGGUACUCGAGUGGCGAACGGGUGAGUAACACGUGAGUAACCUGCCCUUGACUUCGGGAUAACUUCAGGAAACUGGGGCUAAUACCGGAUAGGAAUCCUUGCUGCAUGGUGGGGGUUGGAAAGCUUCGGCGGGUUUGGAUGGACUCGCGGCUUAUCAGCUUGUUGGUGGGGUAGUGGCUUACCAAGGCUUUGACGGGUAGCCGGCCUGAGAGGGCGACCGGCCACAUUGGGACUGAGAUACGGCCCAGACGCCGACGGGAGGCAGCAGGGGGGAAUAGUGCACAAUGGGCGGAAGCCUGAUGCAGCAACGCCGCGUGCGGGAUGACGGGCUUCGGGUUGUAAACCGCGUUCAGCAGGGGCGAAGCUUGUGGUGACGGUACCUGCAGAAGAAGCACCGGCUAACUACGUG
rnacentral:rRNA from 1 species